UACGUAGGGUGCAAGCGUUGUCCGGAAUUAUUGGGCGUAAAGAGCUCGUAGGCGGUCUGUCGCGUCGGAUGUGAAAAUCCAGGGCUCAACCCUGGACCUGCAUUCGAUACGGGCAGACUAGAGUUCGGUAGGGGAGACUGGAAUUCCUGGUGUAGCGGUGAAAUGCGCAGAUAUCAGGAGGAACACCAGUGGCGAAGGCGCCGCUCUGGGCCGUGACUGACGCUGAGGAGCGAAAGCGUGGGGAGCAAACAGG
rnacentral:rRNA from 1 species